UACGUAGGGACCAAGCGUUGUUCGGAUUUACUGGGCGUAAAGGGCGCGUAGGCGGCGUGGUAAGUCACUUGUGAAAUCUCCGGGCUUAACCCGGAGCGGUCAAGUGAUACUGUCGUGCUAGAGUGCGGAAGGGGCUACUGGAAUUCUCGGUGUAGCGGUGAAAUGCGUAGAUAUCGAGAGGAACACCUGCGGCGAAGGCGGGUUGCUGGGCCGACACUGACGCUGAGGCGCGAAAGCCAGGGGAGCGAACGGG
rnacentral:rRNA from 1 species